rnacentral:rRNA from 1 species
CAGCUGUAAACGAUGCAGACUAGGUGUUUGGACGGCCACGUGCCGUUCUAGUGCCGCAGGGAAGCUGUUAAGUCUGCCGCCUGGGGAGUACGAUCGCAAGAUUGAAACUUAAAGGAAUUGGCGGGGGAGCACCACAAGGGGUGAAGCUUGCGGUUUAAUUGGAGUCAACGCCGGAAAUCUUACCGGGACCGACAGCAACAUGAAGGCCAGGCUGAAGACUUUGCCGGAUUAGCUGAGAGGAGGUGCAUGGCGUGUGACUGU